rnacentral:rRNA from 1 species
AUUGAACGCUGGCGGUAUGCUUAAGACAUGCAAGUCGAACGGUAACAGGUUAAGCUGACGAGUGGCGGACGAGUGAGUAACGCGUGGGAAUCUACCUUGUAGUGGGGGAUAAGCCAGGGAAACUUGGACUAAUACCGCAUACGCCCUAAGGGGGAAAGGCGCAAGUCGCUAUAAGAUGAGCCCGCGUCUGAUUAGGUAGUUGGUGGGGUAACGGCCUACCAAGGCGACGAUCAGUAGCCGGCCUGAGAGGGUGAUCGGCCACACUGGAACUGAGACACGGUCCAGACUCCUACGGGAGGCAGCAGUGGGGAAUUUUGCGCAAUGGACGAAAGUCUGACGCAGCGACGCCGCGUGGGGGAUGAAGGUCUUCGGAUUGUAAACCCCUUUCGGGAGGGAAGAUGGAACGAGCAAUCGUUCGGACGGUACCUCCAGAAGCAGCCACGGCCAACUUCGUGCCAGCAGCCGCGGUAAGGAGCUGUCGU